AUGGGCAGGGGUCAGGGUUGAGGUCUACAUGCAUGAGAAAUACAGAGGAUGUGCAUAGGAAAGAAAGUCUACAGCAAGGCAGUAUGAAGGGGAAUUGUCAUUUGCAAAGAAAAAGUACCUCAUGAACAGAAGGAUUCUUGAAGAGAGAAUGGGCACGGGAAAAGAGGCCUAUGGAGGACAGGUAUCCGGUGUGCUAUUCUCUUCUGCAGCGGGUCCUCCUCUUUAUCUUGUUCAGACAUUGUUCAGACAUCUUCCAGCUCUUUUAAUGGAUGAAUCACCUACGGGACCUGUGGGCUGGGGGUUGAAUUUCUCAGGCAUUAAUAUCUGAAGGCUGUGUACAAUAAGGAAUAGAUCUGUCCUGAGUGUUCCUGAAGGGUUGACCUAAGACCAAUGAGGGGAAGUUACAGGGAGAUUAUUUCCACUCAUUAGGGAAAACACAGCCAGAGGCAGAACAUACAAGGAGGAGUGGGCUGCCUCCAGAGGUGGGGAGUCCUUUGUCACUGAAGAGGUUCAGAUCUAGGCUGAAGAACUAGGCAAGAAACAUGUAGCACAGAGUGAGCACUCAAUAAAUAUUUGCUGAAUGUUCUUUUUUGGAUGAAUAAAAGAUGGACACAGAAACUUGUCCUCCACCAGAACUGGGGUGAAUUUAGGGAAAAUUGCUUUGCUGUGAGGUAGAGGAGGUUUAUUUUUGAAUGAGGAAAGAGAAAAGGUGUCCAGGCUUGUACCUGGGAAGUACAUCCUUCAUUCAUAUAUUUUCUGACGGUGAAAUUGAGCUAUGGAAAUACCUUAUUCUUUGGGGUAUGUGGACAGCAAUGCGAGGCAGUUUUCUAAAGGCUACCCCAUCAAGAAUAGGCACCAGACUCUGGCCUCAAACCCAGCCCAUUUGAAAUAAGCUUUUUAGUUUCUCCUCCGGACACCUUAUCAACAAGUUCACAGGCCUCUAGAGGAGGAGGAUCGGAGUCCCAGACCAUCCUAUGCUUACCCACAUCCACAACUGCAUGUAAAGGAAGAAUUUGCAGAGAGACUCAAGGGAAAGCACAAUGGGAUAAAGCAAUCACUUUGAAUAAAAAAUUGUUCUCUUGAAAAGAGGCUUAGAAAUAAUUGAAAGUUGGGAGAAUUCCUGCAAACACACCAACAGUUUGUAAUCUAGCCUAUUCAUUUUAUGUCCUUUGCUAUUCAUUGAUAUUGCUAUUCUUCUGCCCUGUUGUCUGGUAACUUUCUGAGGACUGGAUUUCUGAAGCAAUGUGAUGCAUUCUUCCCAUGAGGAGGAAACAUCUGGGCCUCAUUCUGCAGGCUUGGGAGGAUGAUGUGUCUUGUCAAGGGGUAAAUAGCAAACUGAUUUAAUUUUUGCUUAAAACUAUCAUAGUCAUUCCAAAAUAGAAUGCGUAAAAGUUCUCUGUAUUAGAAAAAGAAAUGAGAUACCAAUUGUAUAUUUUCUUUUCUUUAUUUAUUCUCUGUAAGUCUGUCAGAUGAUAAAUUGUAAAUAACAAUGAUUAAAGAAAUAUGCUACUGAUGGAUCCUUC
rnacentral:lncRNA from 1 species